rnacentral:rRNA from 1 species
GGGCACUCUAAAGAGACUGCCGAUGACAAAUCGGAGGAAGGUGGGAUGACGUCAAAUCAUCAUGCCCUUUAUGUCCUGGGCUACACACGUGCUACAAUGGUCGGUACAACGAGAAGCAAGCCAGCGAUGGCAAGCAAAUCUCUAAAAGCCAAUCCCAGUUCGGAUUGCAGUCUGCAACUCGACUGCAUGAAGCCGGAGUUGCUAGUAACCGCAGGUCAGCAAUACUGCGGUGAAUACGUUCCCGGGUCUU